rnacentral:rRNA from 1 species
GACGAACGCUGGCGGCGUGCUUAACACAUGCAAGUCGCGCGGAGCGGCGAACGGGUGAGUAACGCGUGAGUAACUGCCCCCCUCUCUGGGUUAACAGUUGGAAACGGCUGCUAAUACCGGAUAGUGGGGGAUGACUCGCGUCCUAUCAGCUUGUUGGUGGGGUAGUGGCCUACCAAGGCGCCGACGGGUAGCCGGCCUGAGAGGGCGACCGGCCACAUUGGGCGGGGAGACGGCACAAACGACAACGGGGGGCAGGAGUGGGGAAUAUGGCACAAAGGAGGAAAUACUGAUGCAGCAACGCCGCGUGCGGGAUGACGGCCUUCGGGUUGUAAGCAGCUUUCAGCCAUGACGCGGUAGUGGCAGAAGAAGCACCGGCUAACUACGUGCCAGCAGCCGCGGUAAUUC